rnacentral:rRNA from 1 species
AACGAACGCUGGCGGCAGGCUUAACACAUGCAAGUCGAGCGCCCCGCAAGGGGAGCGGCAGACGGGUGAGUAACGCGUGGGAAUCUACCCAUCUCUACGGAAUAACGCAUGGAAACGUGUGCUAAUACCGUAUACGUCCUUCGGGAGAAAGAUUUAUCGGAGAUGGAUGAGCCCGCGUUGGAUUAGCUAGUUGGUGGGGGAAAGGCCUACCAAGGCGACGAUCCAUAGCUGGUCUGAGAGGAUGAUCGGCCACACUGGGACUGAGACACGGCCCAGACUCCUACGGGAGGCAGCAGUGGGGAAUAUUGGACAAUGGGCGCAAGCCUGAUCCAGCCAUGCCGCGUGAGUGAUGAAGGCCCUAGGGUUGUAAAGCUCUUUCACCGGUGAAGAUAAUGACGGUAACCGGAGAAGAAGCCCCGGCUAACUUCGUGCCAGCAGCCGCCGUAAUAC